rnacentral:sRNA from 1 species
CUUAAGGUUAUUAAAACGCUUACAAUCAUUUAUGCGAUAACUCAUUGAAAAGGGGAAUGGAAGAUGGGCACACUUGUAUGCCAAACUUGUAAUUCAACAAUUGAUCACUUCGAGGAUGAAAAAGUAACAGUUUUGUAUUCAAAGUGUAAUUGCUGUAAUGAUGAUAAAAAAAAGACUAAAUAAUUUUUUU